CGUAGGUGGCGAGCGUUGUCCGGAAUUAUUGGGCGUAAAGGGAGCGGCAGGCGGGAGGUCAAGUCUAUCUUAAAAGUGCGGGGCUCAACCCCGUGAGGGGAUGGAAACUGGUCUUCUUGAGUGCAGGAGAGGAAAGCGGAAUUCCUAGUGUAGCGGUGAAAUGCGUAGAUAUUAGGAGGAACACCAGUGGCGAAGGCGGCUUUCUGGACUGUAACUGACGCUGAGGCUCGAAAGCGUGGGGAGCGA
rnacentral:rRNA from 1 species